rnacentral:rRNA from 1 species
AUUGAACGCUGGCGGCAGGCUUAACACAUGCAAGUCGAGCGGAGCGAGGGUGCUUGCACCUUAGCUUAGCGGCGGACGGGUGAGUAAUGCUUAGGAAUCUGCCUAUUAGUGGGGGACAACAUUCCGAAAGGAAUGCUAAUACCGCAUACGCCCUACGGGGGAAAGCAGGGGAUCUUCGGACCUUGCGCUAAUAGAUGAGCCUAAGUCGGAUUAGCUAGUUGGUGGGGUAAAGGCCUACCAAGGCGACGAUCUGUAGCGGGUCUGAGAGGAUGAUCCGCCACACUGGGACUGGCACACGGCCCAGGCUCUUACGUGAGGCAGCAGUGGGGCAUAAUAGACAAUGUGCGGAAGCCUGAUCCAGCCAUGCCGCGUGUGUGAAGAAGGCCUUAUGGUUGUAAAGCACUUUAAGCGAGGAGGAGGCUACUUUAGUUAAUACCUAGUGAUAGUGGACGUUACUCGCGGAAUAAGCACCGGCUAACUCUGUGCCAGCCGCCGCCGUAA